UACGUAGGGUGCGAGCGUUGUCCGGAAUUAUUGGGCGUAAAGAGCUUGUAGGCGGUUUGUCGCGUCUGCUGUGAAAACCCGGGGCUCAACUCCGGGCCUGCAGUCGAUACGGGCUGGCUUGAGUGCGGUAGGGGAGACUGGAAUUCCUGGUGUAGCGGUGAAAUGCGCAGAUAUCAGGAGGAACACCGGUGGCGAAGGCGGGUCUCUGGGCCGUAACUGACGCUGAGGAGCGAAAGCGUGGGGAGCGAACAGG
rnacentral:rRNA from 1 species